rnacentral:rRNA from 1 species
GAUCGACCUCAAAUCAGGUAGGACUACCCGCUGAACUUAAGCAUAUCAAUA